AGCCAAGAGAUGCCAAGGGCUGGGAAUCACCAUUCAAAACCUGCCAGAGAUGGUGCCACCACGGGUUACAGUGGAUCAGCCACGGCCUUUUCAGCUUUUAAGGAGAUUUUGGGCUGCCUGGGAUUCCCUGGUUGUGAUUGUUCAGGAAAUAAAAGGGAAAGGAAGCUCCAGAGCAUGACUGAGACCUCUCCAGACACAGCCUGCCCCAGGCAGGGUUUACACACGGUGCCAGAGGAGGGUGGCUGGUGGUGACUGGUGCCACAUCCACCUGGAGGACAGCCACUAGUGGGAUUCCCCUGGGUUCAGUACAUUUACUGAUGAGGAGAUCAGAGAGAAGCUCAUAUGUCUAGGAUCGAGUAUGAUCAGAGCUUAACUCCACAAAGAAAAUAAAAAUACAAAAGCUACAGCAAUCAUAGAGGAAGAGUGGAGGAAGAGAUAAAGGAGAACGCAGGAACGAGAUGGAAAGAGCUGAGUGAGAGUGAGAGAGCCUCGCUGGUGACUUGGGGUCUGGCCGUGCUGCCUUUGGCGGGGCUGCCGCCGUUACUCGCUGGUUUUCAGCAUGAGUAAUGGUGUCAGCGUGAGCCCAUAAAUUCUGGGGAAUUUGUAAAGUGCCUGUCACAACGUUAUCUAAAGAGCAGUGGCACUUUGGAGACCGUUCUGGGCUGCUGAGGAGGGGAGGCUCUUCAGUCUGCCUUUGCAAUGAAGCUCUGCUGUAGCACACUGUGCUCCUUUACAGUGUCACGUUGUCCUCAUUUCAAGAGGGAUUUCUGCAUGGAAAAGGUUGUUAAAUAUUGGAAAGGGCUGCCCAGGGAGGUUUGGAGUCCCCAUCCCUGGAGGUGUCCCAGGAAGGCCUGGAGGUGGCACUCAGAGCUCUGGGCUGGGGACAAGGCACAGCUGGGACUCAAUAACCUUGGAGGACUUUCCCAACCUCAAUGAUUCUGUGACUGUUGUGCCCAUGAUAUCCCUGGUUGUACAACCUCAGGAGAAAAGGCUUCAUUUACCACUUCCCAGUUUUUCUUUCCCAUGAGAAGAUUCAUGGCAGAAAAGCUCCCCCAGCCUGGUGAGCACAUGUGGGGAGUUACCUGAGCAAUUAAAUGAAGGCACUCCUGUGAGCGGCGCACGUGGGAUAUUCUUUGAAGAUGUUGUGUGAUCAAAGCAGAGAAAGGAAAUAAAAACGUGUAUGUUUGCUAAAUAUUGAAUAAAUGAAAUGUGAGGGUACUGCAAUGAAAAGGUAGAACAUGUGUUUGUGGGGAAAGGCUCCAUCCACUUCAUAUCCAUGAGUAAAUAUUUUAUGUGGUCCUGUUCACAUUCCCUCCUGUUGUUCCUGGUGGGGAAACUAGAGGAUAGAGGAGGCCGAGACAUAACGGGUUUGUGGGCAACUCUAUGAUUUAUUGUGUCAUUUAUGGGCCAGUGUCAGACUUCUUUUAUCUCCCCCAGGAAGAGCAGAACUCAGAGGGCUGACAGGGAUGCAGGCACCAAGGUGCAAGUGUUCUGGGCAAGUGGCAAGAACUGAAAAGGAUAAACCACUUCUCUCUGAAGUACCAGAAUGGCAGUAAAAGAAUCAUACAAUGGUUUGGCUUGGAAGGGAUCUUAAAAAUCAUCCAGUGCCACCCCCUGCCAUGGCAGGGAC